UACGUAGGGUGCAAGCGUUAAUCGGAAUUACUGGGCGUAAAGGGUGCGUAGGCGGUUCGUUAAGUCUGUCGUGAAAUCCCCGGGCUCAACCUGGGAAUGGCGAUGGAUACUGGUGAGCUAGAGUGUGUCAGAGGAUGGUGGAAUUCCCGGUGUAGCGGUGAAAUGCGUAGAGAUCGGGAGGAACAUCAGUGGCGAAGGCGGCCAUCUGGGACAACACUGACGCUGAAGCACGAAAGCGUGGGGAGCAAACAGG
rnacentral:rRNA from 1 species